UUUUGUACAACAAAAAUUGCAUUUACUUAUAGAUCUUACACUUCAUUGGAAUGAGAUAACAAACUAGGUCCACUUGUUAUAUAUGGGUCACAAAAUAUAUAGUCUAUUCAUGAAAUCACUGUUCUAAGUGUUAUUGAUAGAUAAUUUAAGUUGAAUGGCAGUGGCGAAGCGUCAUAGGAGACAAAGAGACAAUGUCUACCCACUUAUAAUACGGACAAAAAUUUGUUUUUAUUUUAUGUGUAUAAAAAUGUUUUAACCAAUUUUAAUGUAAAAGUAUAUAUUUUUUGUAAUAGUAUUCUUAGAAUAGAGUAGUUGUGGACGCGGAUCAGCGGGCGGUCACGCUGCCGGCCGCCGGGUCUAUCCAAAUUUAGUAUAAAAAUAAAUGAGACAAUUUCAAAAUUGUCUCUUUUGCCGGGCGCGGUAUGCAGGGAGAAAUGGAAAACGGCGGGGGUUUAUCGUUGCGCUAUGAGACAUGUCUCACCGACCGUCAUUCAUAUUAUUAUUGUUUUGGUAGACGGUAUCAGUUAUCCGUUAUCAAUGUACGUUGUAUCGAUUGUCGUGUUGUACGUUUUCAAAUAUGCCUAUGCCAUUUAGUUUAUUAGUUUUUGAACAUUUAUUUUUUACAGUAUAGAUAAAAUAAAAUAUACAGGGGGUCCAAGGGGGUGCAGUCCCCCUGUCAAGUCACGGAACACCAUUUUUUUCAAUGACUCCCUGAUCUAAAUACCCAUGCCUCGCCACUGUUGAAUGGUAUAAAAAGUUGGAAGUUAAAUGCUAGCAUGUGACCAGAGGAAGAUUAAAUGGACAUAUCAUAUAUUUCUCCAUGGACACUGUAGUAAUCCAUAGACUGAUUUUCGACACUAUAUUGUUGUUGACGUUAAUUGGAUUUUGUCCAAAACCCCUGGAAGAAAAUUCUGUAUCAGACUAACAGUAUAAACGCCACCCAGUAAUUCUGUAUACCUGCUGUUAGACAUCGUAGUAUCAUCUCCAAUCUCUUUAUAUAUUGUUUAAUUUUAUUUUAAAAAGUCUCAUUAUAAUUUAUUAUUAAUCAAGUGUAA